rnacentral:lncRNA from 1 species
UGCCUGUGGUAACUGGACACUGUGGAGACACAGGUCAUCGCUGAGUCUUCUCUGUGUAACUCUGAAGCAAUGCUCAAGGUGAAGAUUGAGCAAACUGAGUUUAAGAUGGAGGGAUCUGAAUCUCACUGUUCUGGCCAGGGUUAGGAUAGGCUGUUCUGUUUUGUGUGUUUUUGAGGAGGAUUUUGGCCAAGAUCUGAGCAUGGUAUUUUCAACAAGGUUGUGGAAAGGUAUGUUCUCAACUGUUUAUUGUCAGUAAAUGCAGGUUUUCUGUUUGUUCAGGUCUGGACUCAUAUAGAUGUGUUCAAAUGAUGAGAACAAAUCUUUCUUAAUGCAGGUGUGGACUCCAUCUGUGAUGUUACUCAGGAUGCUGUAUGUAACGGCACCCUAGGACUACCUGUGUACCUACAGCUGAUUAGGGACGCCACAGGACACGAACUGAAGUUAUUCAGUGGAGAUAAGAAUGUUUUUACAUCCAAAUCCUCCAAGACAGUGUUCUUUAACGAGUUCAACAACCCAUCAUACCUCCAGAGGUGGCAGUUUGUUCGUGAUAACGGGACCUUGAUUAUUAACCCUGCAGAGAAGAGAGACGCAGGAACAUACAGAGUGGAGAUCUAUGAGGAGUCAACAGGGAGGAGUGUGGGAGAUCACACAGUUCAGCUGAUCCUUCAAGGUACCUCCACUGUGUCUGUCAAACCAACUAACCAGACUAACACGACUCUUCCCUCUACCCACCCAGGUCCCUCAGUGACGGGUACAAGAGUGGAAACAGAGGAUGUGGUGUAUUCUGGCGUUGCCAUGGCAAAUAGGAGCAGCAGGCAUAACAGCAGGAAGCCACCAGCAGGUGAGUCUCUGAAAGAGGGACUUUAUUCACACACACACACUUACACAAACACAUACACAC